rnacentral:lncRNA from 1 species
UAAAUUGUAGUUGGGUUUGUAGAUAAUAUUAGAAAUUUACUUAUGAGUUGUUGGUUAGUUCAUUGGAAUUCAGAAUGCAUAGAAAAUCAACAACAAAGAAUACUAAGAAAGCAACAAAAGGAGCCUUAUCUAGUAGAGGAAGGGCUAGGAGAAAUUACAAUGAGAAUCUCUUUAAUUCCCAUGAUUAUGAAAUAUGGUUUAAUGAACAUCAAUCCCACAAAUUUGCAAUGGAGAAAAUAAUUAACCCUAGAAUAGAAGAUAUGCUUGAUAUAAGUAGGGGCUUUAAAGCACUAGGAUAAAGUAAUUUGCUAAAUAUGGGUAAUACAUUACUAUCCCCAACUAGUUAAGGAAUUCUAUGUCAAUAUUGAUAGGAAAGAAGCUAAGCUAGCGAGAAAAAUUAUAUCUUGCUUAAUACGAAUCGACAUAGCAAUAACUAAUGAGAUAUUAAUGGGAUUACUACAUGUACCUAAUGAUGGACCAAGGUUUCAAAAGUCACAACAUGUAGUGGUAGGAGAUAGGAGUUGGAAGUUUAAAGAAGCUAAAGUCAAAUUUUAUUUGACUAAUAUUGGAAUAAAUGAGAGGCCUAGGGUGGUAGCUAAGGGAAUGAAUGUGCGAGAGAGAAUAAUAGUAUUUAUGCUAAGUUUCAAUGUGAUGCCUUGAUCUAGUGGAUUAAAUGAAGUACGCACCUUUGAGGCGUAUGUUUUGGUCAAUAUGCUUAAUGGACUUAGAGAUAUUAAGGGUAUUCCGGUUGCCAAAUUAAUUCUUGAACAAAUUAUGAAUGUGGUGUUAACAAAAAGGAAGGCAAAGAAUCUUCUCUUUCUAAUUUUGUUAAGCAAGAUAUUUGAGGAGUAAUUAAUCGCAACGAUGAAUGAAGAGGUUAUUUUCACAUCAAGUAGAGAUGAGAUUGUAGUGAGAAAUUUGAUAUAGAUGGGUUUGCAAAUGGUAGGAGGAGUAUGGAAAAAUCUGAUUAGGCAAUCAUUACAACCAAGUGAAGUAGUAGAUUUUAGGGGUAGUGGAGCUAUUGAUAAAGUCUUAAGGGAUGAGAUGGAAGCAGAGAUGGAGCCACCGACUGGCAAAGUUAAUGAAGAAAGGACCUUGAUGUUGUACGAGGAGCGAAAUCAUCCUAAUCCGUUUGAAAGAGAGGAUGGAAUUCGAGUAUCCAUAUAAGCGCCCGGAAAGAUGAAGGAGGAAUUCAAUUGUGCGAAGGAUACUCUCCAUUUGCCAAGAUAUUUGAGAUGAUGUAAGGAGUCAAUGAGCUAGACUUGAUAUGAUUGAGCGAGAGCUAGAGCAUCUUCGAGCUAAAAGAAAUGCCAAUCCACCACAACCCUAAUGAGGGA